rnacentral:snRNA from 1 species
UAGUUACUUAUGUGAUUACU